CCCGGGUCUUGUACACACCGCCCGUCACACCAUGGGAGCGGGUUCUGCCAGAAGUAGUUAGUCUAACCGCAAGGGGGGCGAUUACCACGGCAGGGUUCGUGACUGGGGUG
rnacentral:rRNA from 1 species